rnacentral:rRNA from 1 species
AGUGAACGCUGGCGGUAGGCCUAGCACAUGCAAGUCGAACGGCAGCACAGUAAGAGCUUGCUCUUACGGGUGGCGAGUGGCGGACGGGUGAGGAAUACAUCGGAAUCUACUUUUUCGUGGGGGAUAACGUAGGGAAACUUACGCUAAUACCGCAUACGACCUACGGGUGAAAGCAGGGGAUCUUCGGACCUUGCGCGAUUGAAUGAGCCGAUGUCGGAUUAGCUAGUUGGCGGGGUAAAGGCCCACCAAGGCGACGAUCCGUAGCUGGUCUGAGAGGAUGAUCAGCCACACUGGAACUGAGACACGGUCCAGACUCCUACGGGAGGCAGCAGUGGGGAAUAUUGGACAAUGGGCGCAAGCCUGAUCCAGCCAUACCGCGUGGGUGAAGAAGGCCUUCGGGUUGUAAAGCCCUUUUGUUGGGAAAGAAAAGCAGCAGGUUAAUACCCCGCUGUUCUGACGGUACCCAAAGAAUAAGCACCGGCUAACUUC